rnacentral:rRNA from 1 species
CCUACGGGUGGCAGCAGUGAGGAAUAUUGGUCAAUGGGCGCGAGCCUGAACCAGCCAAGUAGCGUGAAGGAUGACUGCCCUACGGGUUGUAAACUUCUUUUGCCGGGGAGCAGUGGUCCGGACGCGUCCGGACCGGGAGAGUACCCGGAGAAAAAGCAUCGGCUAACUCCGUGCCAGCAGCCGCGGUAAUACGGAGGAUGCGAGCGUUAUCCGGAUUUAUUGGGUUUAAAGGGUGCGUAGGCGGGCAUUUAAGCCGGCGGUCAAAUGUCGGGGCUCAACCCCGGCCUGCCGUCGGAACUGGGUGCAUUGAGUGGGCGAGAAGUAUGCGGAAUGCGUGGUGUAGCGGUGAAAUGCAUAGAUAUCACGCAGAACCCCGAUUGCGAAGGCAGCAUACCGGCGCCCUACUGACGCUGAGGCACGAAAGUGCGGGUAUCGAACAGGAUUAGAUACCCUGGUAGUC